AAGUUGAAUCUAUCCUCUAUCCAGCAAGUCUUUUUCAAUGAAUUCAUUAUGUACUCGACCUGCAACAAGGAAAGAAAACCAAGUUCUGUGAAUAACUAAAUUAUCAUAAUGAAACAAAAUGAUAAGUAGAAAGCAAGAGUGUUUUGAAAGCAUUAAUCAUAAUAGCCAAGAAAUGAAGCAAUCCAAUAUCAAUUGACAAAUGGAUGGAUAAACAAAAUGUGGGACAUACAUACAAUGGAAUAUUACUCUGCCUUAACAAUGAAGGACAUUCUGACACAUGCUACAACAUGAAUGGACUUUGAAGAUAUUACGUUAAAAGCAAUAAGAAAAUCACAAUAGACAAAUACUACAUAACAUAUGAUUCCACUUAUAUCAGGUAGUUACAGUAGUCACAUUCAUAAAGACAGAAAGUAGAAUGGUAGUUUCUGGGGGGAGGGGAAGAAGAGACUAGGAAGCUGUUGUGUAAUGGCUAUAGGGUUUCAGUUUUGCAAAAUAAAAACAGUUUUGGAGAUUGGUUGCAUAACAUUGUGAAUAUAUUUAACACUACUGAACUAU